rnacentral:rRNA from 1 species
UACGUAGGUGGCAAGCGUUAUCCGGAAUUAUUGGGCGUAAAGCGCGCGCAGGUGGUUUCUUAAGUCUGAUGUGAAAGCCCACGGCUCAACCGUGGAGGGUCAUUGGAAACUGGGAGACUUGAGUGCAGAAGAGGAAAGUGGAAUUCCAUGUGUAGCGGUGAAAUGCGUAGAGAUAUGGAGGAACACCAGUGGCGAAGGCGACUUUCUGGACCGACACUGACGCUGAGGCGCGAAAGCUAGGGAAGCAAACGGG